rnacentral:rRNA from 1 species
GUUGAGGUCCACGUCGUAUGUUGUCGGCUAUUUCCCCACUUUGGUGGAGGGGAGAUAGCUUUCGCAAAGUUUACGUCCCCUUUGCGACGCGGCCGGUUUGAUGGUGCCGGUUAGCGGACGAUAUACACUGGACUAUGUAUGAAGUCUGAUGGCCUUUACUGGUCUUCAGCAAAACGGCUUCGUUGGCUUCUGCGUUGCACCGAGCAAUUGUGUUCGUCGUGGGUUGUUGUUGUUGUUUGUUGACGUCGUUUCGGCGGCGUCGGCGGCGGCGAUGAUCCACGGCGGCGACGUCCGUGAUUGCGUUGAGGUGUGACGAGACGCGCACUAUGCCCCACAAGGCUUGUGACGCGAGAAUUAAUGAGCACCGGGUUGGUGCCGCCAACAAAUUCAUUCUCUUUCUAAUCUUUUUAUCAAGGCUCUUUUAUACACAGCCUUACCGAUGGAUCACUCGGUUCGUAGUUCGAUGAAGAACGCAGCUAACUGCGUUAAUUGAUAUAAUCUGCAGAAACCUUGAGUAUUAAUUUGUUGAAUGCACAUUGCGCCAUUGGAGUUACAUCCUUUGGCGUGUCUGGUUCAGGGGCGUUUCUAAAACACAUGCAUCGACUGCGGUGUCGUCUGCUCUUUGCCUGGCUUUGCGGCUAGGUGAGGCGGUAGUGUGGGGCCUGGCGUGGUUUAGAGAGACGGCUAGUAGCGCGGUAGGACUUGUUCUCGCUGCGCUGCUAGUGUCUUGCUGUAAAUGAGUGUUGUUGAGA